rnacentral:ncRNA from 1 species
AGGUCUUGGUCUUAAACCUCACAUUACCUAAAAUCAUCUGUCUAUACAUGCAAGCCUCCCCACAACGGUGAAAAGGCCACAACAACCCGAGCCGGCAUCAGUCUUCAUUUACCAUGACGCCAAGCAAAAGCCACACCCCCACGGGUAACACAGCAGUAACUAAUAUUAGGCCAUAAGUGAAAACUUGACCAAGCAAGAUGAAUACAGGGCCGGUUAAUCUCGUGCCAGCGACCGCGGUUACACGAUAGGCCCAAGGCAAUAUCAACGGCGUAAAGAUGACUAAAAUAGCCCGUCCCAAGCCUAGGGAAGAAGUAAGGCUAGGCUGUAAAAAGCUAUAAGCCACAGUAACCCCUCCCCCUAACACCAUUACGGCUUCAACUCACAAAAAUUAGGACACAAACUAGGAUUAGAUACCCUACUAUGCCCAACCGUAACACACAAUUAAAUUACCAAUUGUUCGCCAAACAACUACGAGUCCCACUUAAAACUUAAAAGACUUGACGGUACUUCACCACGCCCUAGAGGAGCCUGUCUAACAACCGACAACCCACGAUUAACCCAACCCCCUCUUGCCCAACAGUCUAUAUACCGCCGUCGCCAGCUUACCUUGUAAAAGAAAAAAAGUAAGCCAAAUAGCAUCACUAGCACGACAGGUCGAGGUGUAACUUAUGGGGGGGCCAAGAUGGGCUACAUUCUCAACCGAGCACACGGACAACACCAUGAAAUUGGUCUUCAAAGGCGGAUUUAGCAGUAAGACAGGAAUAGAAUACCUGACUGAACACAACGCAAUGAAGUGUGUACACACCGCCCGUCAUCCCUGCCACCACAACAUUAACCUUAACUAAACCAAUCAACAAAAUAAAACAGGGCAAGUCGUAACAUGGUAAGUGUACUGGAAAGUGCACUUAGAAA